GAUGAACGCUGGCGGCGUGCCUAAUACAUGCAAGUCGAGCGAACAGACGAGGAGCUUGCUCCUCUGACGUUAGCGGCGGACGGGUGAGUAACACGUGGAUAACCUACCUAUAAGACUGGGAUAACUUCGGGAAACCGGAGCUAAUACCGGAUAACAUGUUGAACCGCAUGGUUUAACAGUGAAAGACGGUCUUGCUGUCACUUAUAGAUGGGUCCGCGCCGCAUUAGCUAGUUGGUAAGGUAACGGCUUACCAAGGCAACGAUGCGUAGCCGACCUGAGAGGGUGAUCGGCCACACUGGAACUGAGACACGGUCCAGACUCCUACGGGAGGCAGCAGUAGGGAAUCUUCCGCAAUGGGCGAAAGCCUGACGGAGCAACGCCGCGUGAGUGAAGAAGGUCUUCGGAUCGUAAAACUCUGUUAUUAGGGAAGAACAAAUGUGUAAGUAACUAUGCACGUCUUGACGGUACCUAAUCAGAAAGCCACGGCUAACUACGUG
rnacentral:rRNA from 1 species